GACGAACGCUGGCGGCGUGCUUAACACAUGCAAGUCGAACGGAAAGGCCCUGCUUUUGUGGGGUGCUCGAGUGGCGAACGGGUGAGUAACACGUGUGUAACCUGCCCUUGACUUUGGGAUAACUUCAGGAAACUGGGGCUAAUACCGGAUAGGCGCUCCUGCUGCAUGGUGGGGGUUGGAAAGUUUCGGCGGUUGGGGAUGGACUCGCGGCUUAUCAGCUUGUUGGUGGGGUAGUGGCUUACCAAGGCUUUGACGGGUAGCCGGCCUGAGAGGGUGACCGGCCACAUUGGGACUGAGAUACGGCCCAGACUCCUACGGGAGGCAGCAGUGGGGAAUAUUGCACAAUGGGCGGAAGCCUGAUGCAGCAACGCCGCGUGCGGGAUGACGGCCUUCGGGUUGUAAACCGCUUUCGCCUGUGACGAAGCGUGAGUGACGGUAAUGGGUAAAGAAGCACCGGCUAACUACGUG
rnacentral:rRNA from 1 species